GACGAACGCUGGCGGCGUGCCUAAUACAUGCAAGUAGGACGCAGUUGCGAACGGGUGAGUAACGCGUAGGUAACCGCCUACUAGAGGGGGAUAACUAACGGAAACGAUAGCUAAUACCGCACACUAGCAGAUGGAUCUGCGCUGUAUUAGCUAGUGGGUGGGGUAAUUGCCUACCAAAGCAACGAUACAUAGCCGACCUGAGGAGGUGAUGGGCCAACCUGGGAAUGGAGACAGGGCCAGGAUCCUACGGGAGGACGCAGUUGGGGAUCUUCGGGAAUGGGAGGAACCCUGAACCGACAACGCCGCGUGAGUGGAGAAGGUUUUCGGAACGUAAAGCUCUGUUGUUAAGGAAGCGGUACUUAACCAGAAAGGGACGGCUAACUACGUGCCAGCCGCCGCGGUAAUAC
rnacentral:rRNA from 1 species